rnacentral:lncRNA from 1 species
UCAGGGUUAGGGACUUUUCCCCUUAUUUCCCCACCAAUUACUUUCCUACUUUCGCAAUGCAUUGUCUCAUCUCUUCCAAAAAAUUUCGUCACUUUUUUCGAAAAUUUCAUUUCCAUCUUAGCUCAACCCAGAGUUGCACGCUUCCACCAAAUUGUUUUGAACCAAUAGUUGCAUUACUUGCAUCCACCUGUUUGCCGUUUGUUUCAAUACACGUCUUCUUAACUCACGUGGGACCCAUUACAUGCCUAGUUUUGUCAACUUCUUGUUUCCCCUCUACGUUACCGGCCCAUUACCUUCUUGUCCAGUUAAAUCUAAUCGUCUCCGUGUCACUUCUUCAGCCGUGGGAUUAUAUCCAGAGACUCAUUUACUAUAAGACAGAGGACUGGGGUACCAAACCCCUGACGCAAAUUAAUUAUCCCCUCAUUUUAUAGGUACAACAAAAUUAGAAUCUACAAUAAUUGUGUAAUUUUAUAUAUUUUUAAGUUGAAUCCAUUGAAAUCCAGUUGGAUGGGUGGAAUCUAUUAAAAUUCAACGACCGAAUGUGAUUGUAGCACAGUAUUACAGUUGGAAUGUUGGAUCACAAUUUUUCCCUCUUUGUAGAUAAAUAUUUGAGUCCCUCAAUAAAUUUAUUAGACUGCCAAGAAAUAACAGACCUUUAUAAACGGGCGCGCCACCUCAGCCUGCACUUGCCCCAACAGAAAAUUCUUCCCUUCUAGAAUAAAUUUAGAUGUGCU